rnacentral:rRNA from 1 species
AUGCUGGCGGCAGGCCUAACACAUGCAAGUCGAGCGAACAACCACAACAGGUUGUUAGCGGCGAACGGGUGAGUAACACGUGAGAAUCUGCCUUGUUCAACGGAAUAGCUKAAGGAAACUUGAGGUAAUACCGUAUAAUUCCAAGAUCUUGGUAAAGAUUUUGUUCGGAACAAGAUGAGCUUACGGUAGAUUAGCUAGUUGGUGGGGUAAAGGCCUACCAAGGCAAUGAUCUAUAGCUGAUCUGGGAGGAUGGACAGCCACAUUGGGAUUGAGAUAAGGCCCAAACUUCUAUGGAAGGCAGCAGUGGGGAAUAUUGGACRAUGGGCGAAAGCCUGAUCCAGCUAUGCCGCAUGAGUGAUGAAGAUCUAAAAAAACGGGUACAGAACAUGUACCUUAGGAUUGUAAAACUCUGKUUGUUUAGUGAUAAUAAUGAUAGUAACUGAAUAAAAGCUCCGGCCAACUUCGUGCCAGCAGCCGCGGUAAUACGAGGGGAGCGAGUGUUGUUCGGUUUUAUUGGGCGUAAAGGGUACGUAGGCGGUUUUGUUAGUCAACAAUUAAAUCUUGGAACUUAAUUCCAUAGCAGUUGUUGAUACUGCAUAACUAUGAACUUAAUAGGGGUGAACACAAUUCCAAGUGUAGAGGUGAAAUUCGUUGAUAUUUGGAGGAGUACCAAAGGCGAAGGCAGUUCAUUGGGUUAAGUUGACGCUGAGGUACGAAAGCGUGGGGAGCAAACAGGAUUAGAUACCCUGGUAGUCCACGCCCUAAACGAUGAGUGCUAACAGUCGGGUGUAAAUGCAUACCGGAAGGUACAUCUUCGGAUAUAUCGAAGGUUGCAGGUUUAUGUUUGAUUGUAUAGCUAACGCGUUAAGCACUCCGCCUGGGGACUACGACCGCAAGGUUAAAACUCAAAGGAAUUGACGGAGAUCCGAACAAGCGGUGGAGCAUGUGGUUUAAUUCGAAGCUACACGAAGAACCUUACCAGCCCUUGACAUUUUUGGUUCGAGCACAUCAUCCGUGCUCACAUUCAUCUUGGAAACAAGAUGUCAAUGUCAAGUUUCCGGCAUGAAACACCGGUAAGAUUCAACCUYGAACAGGUGCUGCAUGGCUGUUGUCAGUUCGUGUCGUGAGAUGUAUGGUUAAGUCCUAAAACGAACGUAACCCUUGUCCUUAGUUGCUUAAGAUCGGGGCAAAGCCCAAGAUUAGCUCUCUAAGGAUAUGACCAAYGACAAAUUGGAGGAAGAAAGGACAACGACAAGUCAUCAUGGCCCUUAUGGGCUGGGCUACACMCGUGCUACAAUGGUGGUUACAAAGAGUCGCAACGUUGUGAGAUUGAGCAAAUCUCCAAAGACCAUCUCAGUUCGGAUUGUACUCUGCAACUCGAGUACAUGAAGUAGGAAUCGCUAGUAAUCGUGGAUCAGCAUGCCACGGUGAAUACGUUCUCGGAUCUUGUACAUACCGCCCGUCACACCAUGGGAGUUCAGUUCGAUCGAAGCAACCCUAUCUUGGUUGUGAGAUCCAGAUGAAUGACCGA